UUGCUUAGACGAACAGCGGCGUUGAAGCAGAUAUCACGGACUAAUUAAUGGAACUACAAAUUCCAUCAUCCUUUAACACUUCACUGCAAACAUGGCUGCUUCUCGUGUAACAGCAAAUGAAAUAUUUCUUAACAUAAAACAAAUAUCAACACGGUAUCCGAAAGCUUUGUGUUUAUUCCGAAAAAUCAGUACUUCAAGACCACACUAUGAUAAACAACCUGAACCGAGAACAAAGAGUGCCUCCCAGCAGCUGGUUGGAGUGGUCGGCCUGGAAGUUCACGCCCAGAUUAACUCCAACACCAAGCUGUUCUCUGGUUCUCCAGUUCGCUUCUCAGCUCCUCCCAACUCCCUGGUUUCAUUUUUUGAUGCGUCUUUACCCGGCACAUUACCUAUGCUGAACAGGCGAUGUGUUGAAGCUGCAGUGAUGACCGGAUUGGCUCUCAACUGCACCAUAAAUAAGAAGUCGUAUUUUGACAGGAAACACUACUUCUAUGCUGACCUUCCGGCCGGUUACCAGAUCACCCAGCAGCGAAAACCAAUCGCGGUAGAUGGCGUGCUGACUUACAGCUACUUCGGAGAAAAGAAGAGAAGCCAGAUGAUCAGAAAAAGUGUGCAGAUCAAACAGAUCCAGCUGGAGCAGGACAGUGGCAAGAGUCUGCACGACGACGACCGGAGCCAGACCCUCAUAGAUCUCAACAGAGCAGGUGUGGGUCUAAUGGAACUGGUAAUGGAGCCAGAGAUGAAGAGCGGAGAGGAGGCCGCUGCAGCCAUCAGGGAGCUUCAGCUCAUCCUGCAGGCUCUGGGCACCUGUCAAGGCAACAUGUCGGAGGGCCAGCUGAGAGUGGACGCCAACGUGUCCGUCCACAGACCAGGAGAGCCUCUGGGCAUCAGGACCGAGGUGAAGAACAUCAACAGCAUCCGAUAUCUGGCCAGAGCGAUUGACUAUGAGAUCCAGAGACAGAUUGAUGCCGUGCAGAGCGGGCGGGCGGUGCAGAACGAGACACGGGCGUAUGAUUCCAAAUCAGGGGAAACGGUUCCAAUGAGGGAGAAAGAGGGCCUUCAGGAUUACAGGUUCAUGCCAGAGCCAAACCUCCCCGCCCUGAUUGUGUACGAGGAUAACGCAUCGCUGCCCACCGGCAUUGAUCCCAGCCAGGCGGUGGUGGUGCAGAAGAUAAAAGACAGGCUGCCAGAGUUACCUGGUGUCAAAAGAGACAGGCUGGUGCAGACAUACGGCAUCCUGCCAGAGCACAGCUUCACUCUGGUGAAUGAGGAUGGGUUGAUGGAGUACUUUGAGACGUUGAUGAAAACAACCCAGAGGGAGCCCAGGAAGGUGAUUGGCUGGGUGACAAAUGAGUUGUUAGGUCACCUUAAGCAGCGAGACAUGAGUGUGAGCCAGAGCCCAAUUUCUCCUGCGCAUUUGGCUGAGCUGCUGAAGCUGCAGGAGACGGGACGUAUCUCCUCUUCGGCUGCUAAGCAGGUGUUUCAGGAGAUGUGGAGGUCUGGAGGAAAAACGGCCUGGCAGAUCGUCCAGGAGCAGGAGCUAGGGCUUGUCCACGACUCUGCGCAGCUCCACAGCAUCUGUCAGAAGGUGGUGGAUUCACAUCCGGAUGAGGUUCAUGCCGUCAGAAACGGAAACAAGAAAGUCCUCAACAAGUUGAUCGGUCUGGUCCAGAAAGAGACUAAAGGAAGAGCUGACCCAGUUCUGGUGAAGGAAAUCCUGCAGCAGAUGACACAAUGAGGCCCGACAUGAAGCUCCUGUAGAACCAACCAGUCAAGCCACUAUUUCAACUUUGAUUCAAAUACUGAAUGCAAGACAAGAUGGAGUGCUCCUGUGCGAUGGCUGCCAGCUCUUUGAGGAACUCUGUGAAGAGGACGGUUGCAAAGACCUCCGUCUGCUCCUCAGAGAUGGUUUU